rnacentral:rRNA from 1 species
AGAGUUUGAUCAUGGCUCAGAUUGAACGCUGGCGGCAUGCCUUACACAUGCAAGUCGAACGGCAGCACGGGUGCUUGCACCUGGUGGCGAGUGGCGAACGGGUGAGUAAUACAUCGGAAUGUACCUUGUAGUGGGGGAUAGCUCGGCGAAAGCCGGAUUAAUACCGCAUACGCUCUGAGGAGGAAAGCGGGGGACCUUCGGGCCUCGCGCUACAAGAGCAGCCGAUGUCAGAUUAGCUUGUUGGUGAGGUAAAAGCUCACCAAGGCGACGAUCUGUAGCUGGUCUGAGAGGACGACCAGCCACACUGGGACUGAGACACGGCCCAGACUCCUACGGGAGGCAGCAGUGGGGAAUUUUGGACAAUGGGCGAAAGCCUGAUCCAGCAAUGCCGCGUGUGUGAAGAAGGCCUUCGGGUUGUAAAGCACUUUUGUCCGGAAAGAAAUCCUUUGGGUUAAUACCUCGGGGGGAUGACGGUACCGGAAGAAUAAGCACCGGCUAACUACGUGCCAGCAGCCGCGGUAAUACGUAGGGUGCAAGCGUUAAUCGGAAUUACUGGGCGUAAAGCGUGCGCAGGCGGUUUUGUAAGACGGAUGUGAAAUCCCCGGGCUUAACCUGGGAACUGCAUUCGUGACUGCAAGGCUAGAGUAUGUCAGAGGGGGGUAGAAUUCCACGUGUAGCAGUGAAAUGCGUAGAGAUGUGG